CCCGACUAUUACUCUUCCUAUUGAAACUUUUUUAUGAAUUGAUGGUUGCAAGCUGUUUAUAUGAUUUCAGUUUAUAUAAUCUUUCUCUUUUCCAUUUGACGAUUUUCAGUCCCCCCCCCCAAGAAAAAAAAACCAAGAUCUUCAUCAAUGUAGUCAAAACUUUAUCUCAUCUUCUAUUCGUGAAUCUGCAUCACGAUCACCUCACGAACUCUCCUACCAUGGAUGCUCUUAUUUCUCACCAACACAGGUGUGCUUCAGAGGCAGAAAGCUAUAAAAGAAUGGUUUGGAAUACAUAGCUCAUACGCCAGAGUAAGAGAAUAAGAAACAAGGCAGACGCUCUUUUAUUCUUUUGGUAUUCCUUUUAGAUUAGACCAAUACUUGUAACCUGUUGUGGAGAUGUUUUGAUGGUACUAUGGUAUUGGUAAUCGAAAUAAAUUGUUCAAUUUUUCUGUCCA